CCUACGGGAGGCAGCAGUGAGGAAUAUUGGUCAAUGGACGAGAGUCUGAACCAGCCAAGUAGCGUGAAGGAUGACUGCCCUAUGGGUUGUAAACUUCUUUUAUAUGGGAAUAAAACAGGGUAUGCAUACCCUCUUGUAUGUACCAUAUGAAUAAGGAUCGGCUAACUCCGUGCCAGCAGCCGCGGUAAUACGGAGGAUCCGAGCGUUAUCCGGAUUUAUUGGGUUUAAAGGGAGCGUAGGUGGAUUGUUAAGUCAGUUGUGAAAGUUUGCGGCUCAACCGUAAAAUUGCAGUUGAAACUGGCAGUCUUGAGUACAGUAGAGGUGGGCGGAAUUCGUGGUGUAGCGGUGAAAGGCUUAGAUAUCACGAAGAACUCCGAUUGCGAAGGCAGCUCACUGGACUGCAACUGACACUGAUGCUCGAAAGCGUGGGGAGCAAACAGGAUUAGAUACCCUGGUAGUC
rnacentral:rRNA from 1 species